AACGAACGCUGGCGGCAUGCCUAACACAUGCAAGUCGAACGAGACCUUCGGGUCUAGUGGCGCACGGGUGCGUAACGCGUGGGAACCUGCCCUUAGGUUCGGAAUAACUCCCCGAAAGGGGUGCUAAUACCGGAUAAUGUAUUAGGACCAAAGAUUUAUCGCCUUUGGAUGGGCCCGCGUUGGAUUAGCUAGUUGGUAGGGUAAAAGGCUACCAAGGCGACGAUCCAUAGCUGGUCUGAGAGGAUGAUCAGCCACACUGGGACUGAGACACGGCCCAGACUCCUACGGGAGGCAGCAGUGGGGAAUAUUGGACAAUGGGCGAAAGCCUGAGCCAGCAAUGCCGCGUGAGUGAUGAAGGCCUUAGGGUUGUAAAGCUCUUUUACCCGUGAUGAUAAUGACAGUACCGGGAGAAUAAGCGCCGGCUAACUCCGUG
rnacentral:rRNA from 1 species